rnacentral:rRNA from 1 species
CCUACGGGUGGCAGCAGUGAGGAAUAUUGGUCAAUGGACGAGAGUCUGAACCAGCCAAGUAGCGUGAAGGAUGACUGCCCUAUGGGUUGUAAACUUCUUUUAUAUGGGAAUAAAAUGUUCCACGUGUGGGAUUUUGUAGGUACCAUAUGAAUAAGGAUCGGCUAACUCCGUGCCAGCAGCCGCGGUAAUACGGAGGAUCCGAGCGUUAUCCGGAUUUAUUGGGGUUAAAGGGAGCGUAGGUGGAUUGUUAAGUCAGUUGUGAAAGUUUGCGGCUCAACCGUAAAAUUGCAGUUGAAACUAGCAGUCUUGAGUACAGUAGAGGUGGGCGGAAUUCGUGGUGUAGCGGUGAAAUGCUUAGAUAUCACGAAGAACUCCGAUUGCGAAGGCAGUUCACUGGACUGCAACUGACACUGAGGCUCGAAAGUGUGGGUAUCAAACAGGAUUAGAUACCCGUGUAGUC